rnacentral:tRNA from 1 species
GCGGAUAUGGCGGAAUUGGCAGACGCGCCAGAUUUAGGUUCUGGUGGGAGACCGUGCAGGUUCAAGUCCUGUUAUCCGCACGA